rnacentral:rRNA from 1 species
AAACCUGAGAGUUUGAUCCUGGCUCAGAACGAACGCUGGCGGCAGGCCUAACACAUGCAAGUCGAACGCACCGCAAGGUGAGUGGCGCACGGGUGAGUAACACGUGGGAAUGUA